rnacentral:rRNA from 1 species
CCUACGGGUGGCAGCAGUGGGGGAUAUUGCACAAUGGGGGGAACCCUGAUGCAGCGACGCCGCGUGGGUGAAGGAGCGUUUCGGCGCGUAAAGCCCUAUCGGCAGGGAAGAAGAUGACGGUACCUGGCCAAGAAGCCCCGGCUAACUACGUGCCAGCAGCCGCGGUCAUACGUAGGAUCCGAGCAUUAUCCGGAGUGACUGGGUGUAAAGAGUUGCGUAGGUGGCAUAAUAAGUAGCUAGUGAAAUCUGGUGGCUCAACCAUUCAGACUAUUAGCUAAACUGUUAAGCUCGAGACCGUUAGGGGUAACUGGAAUUUCCAGUGUAGGAGUGAAAUCCGUAGAUAUUAGAAAGAACACCGAUAGCGUAGGCAGGUUACUGGGACGGUUCUGACACUAAGGCACGAAAGCGUAGGGAGCAAACGGGAUUAGAUACCCCAGUAGUC